GCCGGAAUAGCUCAGGUGUGGUAGAGCAGAGGACUGAAACACUCCGUCGUGUCACCA
rnacentral:tRNA from 1 species